GAGGAAAAGAAACUAACAAGGAUUCCCCUAGUAACGGCGAGUGAAGCGGGAUGAGCUCAAAUUUAAAAUCUGGCUGGUUUACUAGUCCGAAUUGUAGUUUAUAGAAGCGUUUUCGGUGGCAGCCUGGGUAUAAAUCCUUUGGAAUAGGGUAUCAUAGAGGGUGAGAAUCCCGUCUUUGACUCAGUGCAUGCUACUAUGUGAUACGUUUUCAAAGAGUCGAGUUGUUUGGGAAUGCAGCUCAAAAUGGGUGGUAAAUUUCAUCUAAAGCUAAAUAUUGGCGAGAGACCGAUAGCGAACAAGUACCGUGAGGGAAAGAUGAAAAGAACUUUGAAAAGAGAGUUAAACAGUGCGUGAAAUUGUUGAAAGGGAAACGUUUGACACCAGUUAUGCGGGUGGAAAAUCAGUCUUUUGCAAUGGGGAGUUGUGGGCGUUCAGACCGCAAGGCUGGCGUUUGCUUCAUCUUUGUUGUAAGUGAUGCACUUUUUCAUUUGCAGGUCAACAUCAGUUUGCUUUGCUGGACAAAACCCCAAGGGAAGGUGACAGCUUAGGCUGUGUUAUAGCCCUGGGGCGAUACAGUGGAGUGGACUGAGGUUUCGCAGUGUGUGCUCUCGGGCAAGGCUGACUGGGUGCUAUGGGAUCGUUCGGCGUACAAUGCAUGCAUUUUGCGUCGUGUCUUUUUCAUACUCGCUCAACUCGGCUCUUCCACACUUAGGAUGUUGACUUAAUGGUUUUAAACGACCCGUCUUGAAACACGGACCAAGGAGUCUAACAUAUAUGCAAGUGUUUGGGUGGCAAACCCAUGCGCGUAAUGAAAGUGAACGUAGGUGCGAUCCGCAAGGUGCAGCAUCGACCGAUCUUGAUAUUUUUGGAUAGAUUUGAGUAAGAGCAUAUAUGCUGGGACCCGAAAGAUGGUGAACUAUGCCUGAAUAGGGUGAAGCCAGAGGAAACUCUGGUGGAGGCUCGUAGCGAUUCUGACGUGCAAAUCGAUCGUCAAAUUUGGGUAUAAGGGGCGAAA
rnacentral:rRNA from 1 species